AUUGAACGCUGGCGGCAGGCCUAACACAUUCAAGUACACCGAGUGGCGGACGGGUGAGUAAUGUAUGGGAAACCGCUCGACGGAGGGGGAUAACAACUGGAAACGGUAGAUAAUAUCGCAUACCAUCGGACGUGCGCAGAUGGGAUUAGCGAGCAGGUGGGGUAGCGGCCCACCUAGGCGACGCUCCCUAGCUGGUCUGCGCGGAUGACCAGCCACAAUGGAACGGAGACACGGUCCAGAGUCCUACGUGAGGCAGCAGUGGAGAAUAUUGCACAGUGGGCGCAAGCCUGAUGCAGCCAUGCCGCGUGUAUGAAGAAGUCCUUCGGGUUGUAAAGUCCUUUCAGCGAUGAGGCGUUACUCGCAGAAGAAGCAUCGGCUGACUCCGUGCCAGCAGCCGCGGUAAUUC
rnacentral:rRNA from 1 species